rnacentral:rRNA from 1 species
AGGAUUAACGCUGGCGGCGUGCCUAACACAUGCAAGUCGAACGAGGUAGCAAUACCUAGUGGCAGACGGGUGAGUAACGCGUGGUCAACCUACCGUUGAGUGGGGGAUAACUAGCCGAAAGGUUAGCUAAUACCGCAUACGAGUCUCGGGGGCAUCCCUGAGCCUUAAAAGGAGCAAUCCGCUCGAUGACGGGACCGCGUCCCAUUAGCUAGAUGGUGGGGUAACGGCCUACCAUGGCACCGAUGGGUAGCUGGUUUGAGAGAGCGACCAGCCACACUGGGACUGAGAAACGGCCCAGACUCCUACGGGAGGCAGCAGUGAGGAAUUUUCCGCAAUGGGCGAAAGCCUGACGGAGCGACGCCGCGUGUGGGAAGAAGGCCUUCGGGUCGUAAACACUGUCGAAGGGGACGAUAAUGACGGUACCUUGGAGGAAGCCCCGGCUAACUACGCGCCAGCAGCCGC